rnacentral:tRNA from 6 species
AGCUCUGAGGUGUUUUACAUAUUAGAUUGCAAAUCUAAAGAAGCAGGCUAACUCCCUGCCGGGGCUU